UGGAKNAGGCUGGCKGRUGUUUACACAUGCAAUUCAAGCGGCAGCGCGGGGCAACCUGGCGGCGANCGGSGAACGGGUGAGUAAUACAUCGGAACGUGCCCAGACGUGGGGGAUAGCCCGGCGAAAGCCGGAUUAAUACCGCAUACGAUCUAAGGAUGAAAGCGGGGGAUCGCAAGACCUCGCGCGUUUGGAGCGGCCGAUGGCAGAUUAGGUUGUUGGUGGGGUAAAGGCUUACCAAGCCUGCGAUCUGUAGCUGGUCUGAGAGGACGACCAGCCACACUGGGACCGAGACACGGCCCRGACUCCUACGGGAGGCAGCAGUGGGGAAUUUUGGACAAUGGGCGCAAGCCUGAUCCAGCCAUUCCGCGUGCAGGACRAAGCCUUCGGGUUGUAAACUGCUUUUGUACGGAACGAAAAGGCGCUUUCUARUACRGAGCGCUCAUGACGGUACCGUAAGAAUAAGCACCGGCUAACUACGUGCCAGCAGCCGCGGUAAUACGUAGGGUGCGAGCGUURAUCGGAAUUACUGGGCGUAAAGCGUGCGCAGGCGGUGAUGUAAGACAGUUGUGAAAUCCCCGGGCUCAACCUGGGAACUGCAUCUGUGACUGCAUCGCUGGAGUGCGGCAGAGGGGGAUGGAAUUCCGCGUGUAGCAGUGAAAUGCGUAGAUAUGCGGAGGAACACCGAUGGCGAAGGCAAUCCCCUGGGCCUGCACUGACGCUCAUGCACGAAAGCGUGGGGAGCAAACAGGAUUAGAUACCCUGGUAGUCCACGCCCUAAACGAUGUCAACUGGUUGUUGGGAAUUAAUUUUCUCAGUAACGAAGCUAACGCGUGAAGUUGACCGCCUGGSAGCACG
rnacentral:rRNA from 1 species